rnacentral:rRNA from 1 species
CCUACGGGAGGCAGCAGUGAGGAAUAUUGGUCAAUGGGCGAGAGCCUGAACCAGCCAAGUCGCGUGAGGGAGUACUGCCCUAUGGGUUGUAAACCUCUUUUGUCGGGGAGCAAAAGCCGGACGUGUCCGGCUGUGAGAGUACCCGAUGAAAAAGCAUCGGCUAACUCCGUGCCAGCAGCCGCGGUAAUACGGAGGAUGCGAGCGUUAUCCGGAUUUAUUGGGUUAAAGGGGUGCGCAGGCGGAUUGUUAAGUCAGCGGUAAAAUCGUGGGGCUCAACCCCAUCCAGCCGUUGAAACUGGGGAUCUAGAGUGUGCGAGAGGUAUGCGGAAUGCGUGGUGUAGCGGUGAAAUGCAUAGAUAUCACGCAGAACCCCGAUUGCGAAGGCAGCAUACCGGUGCACAACUGACGCUCAGGCACGAAAGCGUGGGUAUCGAACAGGAUUAGAUACCCGGGUAGUC